rnacentral:misc_RNA from 1 species
GAUGAAGAACGUAGCGAAACGCGAUAAGUAAUGUGAAUUGCAGAAUCCAGUGAAUCAUCGAAUCUUUGAACGCACAUUGCGCCCCUUGGUAUCCCGAGGGGCAUGCCUGUUCGAGCGUCAUUUCACCACUCAAGCCUGGCUUGGUGUUGGGCGACGUCCUCUUUGGGGACGCGCCUCGAAACGCUCGGCGGCGUGGCACCGGCUUUAAGCGUAGCAGAAUCUUUCGCUUUGGAAGUCGGGGCCCCGUCUGCCGGAAGACCUGCUCGCAAGGUUGACCUCGGAUCAGGCAGGGAUACCCGCUGAACUUAAGCAUAUCAUAAGCGGAGGA